rnacentral:lncRNA from 1 species
CUGCCCCGCGGUUCCCAGCACGAGCUCUCCCGACAGAAGAGGAAAACGCGGCGCGACUCGGUUGGGGGACAGCGCUGAGAUGCGGACAGAUGCGGACGUUCUGCCGCCGCCUGCAGGCAGAGGGACUCGGAGAUCAGGCCGCAGAAGCAGAAGAAGGCAGACGGGAAGGAGGAGGAAGGAAAGGAGCCUUGUGGCUUCGUGUCCGACCCUCCCGCCCUUGGCCCGCGUGCCUGGAGCCAGCCCCACCGCGCCCGCGUUUCCUCCCGCGGGACUUCCCUUGGCCCUGGGUCUGCAGCGGGUCCUGCCGAGCUUCCUUCCCUCAGGCAGCCUCUCUCUCCCUGGCCACUCUCGGGGG